UACGUAGGGUGCAAGCGUUAAUCGGAAUUACUGGGCGUAAAGCGUGCGCAGGCGGUUUUGUAAGUCAGAUGUGAAAUCCCCGGGCUUAACCUGGGAACUGCGUUUGAAACUACAAGGCUAGAGUGUGGCAGAGGGGGGUGGAAUUCCACGUGUAGCAGUGAAAUGCGUAGAGAAUGUGGAGGAACACCGAUGGCGAAGGCAGCCCCCUGGGUCAAGAUUGACGCUCAUGCACGAAAGCGUGGGGAGCAAACAGG
rnacentral:rRNA from 1 species